AACGAACGCUGGUGGCGUGCUUAACACAUGCAAGUCGAACGAGAAAGUUUCCUUCGGGAAAUUAGUAAAGUGGCGCAAGGGUGAGUAUCACGUGAAUAAUCUGCCCUCGAGAUCGGGAUAACAUGGUGAAAACUAUGCUAAUACCGGAUAAGACCACGUUUCAUAAGAAAUGCGGUAAAAGGAGUCUCAAUCUUCACUCGAGGAUGAGUUCGCGCAACAUUAGCUUGUUGGUGAGAUAAAAGCUCACCAAGGCUACGAUGGGUAGCGGGUUUGAGAGGACGAUCCGCCACACUGGAACUGAGACACGGUCCAGACUCCUACGGGGAGGCAGCAGUGGGGAAUAUUGCACAAUGGAGGAAACUCUGAUGCAGCAAUGCCGCGUGAGUGAAG
rnacentral:rRNA from 1 species